CGGGGCUAGGGGUGAAGCCGGGCCGCAUGGCGGCCCGCCGGGCAUCCCCACCGCCCGAACCCGACAGCUAACCCCG
rnacentral:ncRNA from 2 species